rnacentral:rRNA from 1 species
CCUACGGGGGGCUGCAGUCGAGAAUCAUUCACAAUGGGGGAAACCCUGAUGGUGCGACGCCGCGUGGGGGAAUGAAGGUCUUCGGAUUGUAAACCCCUGUCAUGUGGGAGCAAAUUAAAAAGAUAGUACCACAAGAGGAAGAGACGGCUAACUCUGUGCCAGCCGCCGCGGUAAUACAGAGGUCCCAAGCGUUGUUCGGAAUCACUGGGAGUAAAGCGUGCGUAGGCUGUUUCGUAAGGCGUGUGUGAAAGGCGCGGGCCGAACCCGCGGACGGCACAUGAUACUGCGAGACUAGAGUAAUGGAGGGGGAACCGGAAUUCUAGGUGUAGCAGGGAAAUGCGUAGAUAUCGGGAGGAACACUCGUGGCGAAGGCGGGUUCCUGGACAUUAACUGACGCUGAGGCACGAAGGCCAGGGGAGCGAAAGGGAUUAGAUACCCCGGUAGUC